rnacentral:lncRNA from 1 species
AUAUAUCCCUGUGCCUCGAAAACUUUUGGGGGGGGGGUCGAUUUGGUGUCGGCGCGACGAGAGCGGCGAGGGCAGGCCUCGGUCGUGUCGCGCUGCAAUUUUGGAGGGUCGCAGCGAAACUCUCUCGGUCGCUUCUUUGUGGUGGCGGUCGUCGCCGGUUGUUGUCGCGGCGCUCGGGUGACCCUGUUGCUGCGCUUGCCGAUGGGCGACUGGUAUUGUAGACGCUUUUUUUUCGGUUUCCUUUUCACUGUCCCUCCGCAAGAAAAAAAAGCCGCCACAGUGCGGGCGACGCACGCAGCGACGCCGCGAUGUCAUCGACCCCCCGCACGGCCACGACGACCUUGUCGGUUGGGUCCUGGCGCCAAUCCCUCGACGAAAGAAAGACUCAAAAAGGACUCAAAAAAUUUUCGGACCGCUUCGCGGCAAGGGGUUCUUUUUUUUUAAUAAAAGAAAUUGUCCCC